GCCCCAAAUAGACCGUGCCGCCAUACGUAGGACUGACUAUCCUGCUAUGGGGGGAAAUCAAUUAGUCACUGAAAGCCAAGUCCAUAAGUGGUACAGGCAAGCCUUGACCGACAACGGUUGUUGAGCCAAAGAAGAAGAAGAAGAAGAAGAUCGUUUUUAGGGGCCAUAAACUAUUAAGGUCGGUUUGUGGGGGAGUCCUAGACAAGCAAUCAUCGUAUCUGCCGACGCAUCAUCAGUUGGCCUCGGGGCGACAACCCAAGUAGCAACUGAAGCUUUUUUCUCCCAGUUUCAACUCCCUCAUGUCCACAAACUGCCUUCGCUUACUAUUCCUAUCCCGUUUCUACAUUCCACAACGUUUGUUGCGUUCUCGCUCAUCAGGGUGUUAGUCAAUUCUCUCUUGCCACACGAAGAGAAUUCUCCUGCACGCUUCGUGUGUUGGAUUCUACCCAUCCCUGUUGAACACACGUCAUUUUCUUCCAUCGCACUCAUCAGAGUGUUUGCUCUUUUCCAUCCAAGCCAAAGAGCGACUUCAGUGUGCUCUGAACCGUGGAUGUGAGAGUGUGUGUUUGUGUGCUGCGUGAACUAUUUUUCCUGCGUGAAACACUUUCCAUACUGCGCCAUCCGCGGUGUUCUUUCUGCUUCAUCGGAGGACGAAUUUUUAUCAUCUAAUUGUUUGGUUUCAGAUGUGUGCUGCUACCGCUAGCUGUUCCUCAAACUACUUAAAAAGUGUGACACUGUGUGCACAGGCGUUCAAGUUUCAAUUGAUCCUCAAGCACAAAGCCUUCAUACAACACCGCGGGCUCCAGCGUGGUGUGAAGAGGGAAGAAGAAAAGACAGAAUUGGAAACAGCCGCAUCAGGCUUCCAACCACCGUGUGUGUAUGUAAGUAUGUGAGAACACAUGUCCCUACUAGCAAUGAGAAUGAAAAAGUGUGCGACUUUCAGGCGAGGGGCAUGUAGAAGCAUGGGGAGACGGUUGGAAAUUCGCGGAAUUGCUCGGAGGCGCGAGCGUGUUUUGGUUUCUACACAGUUUUUGCACUCACACAAUUACACAUGUGUGAAUGUGUGCGUUCACUUUCAGCCUGCGCGCUCAGUUUGGUUUUCUCGCAGCGGCAUGCGGGUAUCGGUGUCUCGCUCGCACUAGUGCAGCGAGUGUUCCUCUGUGCGCUCCCCUUCUUGCCACCACACGAAAUCGUCAGUUCAGCUCAAGCGUUCGCCGUGAAAGGCUGCGCGCGUGUUAGCCUAAGUCCCGGGCGAUCGAAGUUUCGCUAAGUGUUGAAGUGUUGUGCACUUUGAAAUGAAGCUGCGCUUUUCUUUCACCAUUUAUCUUAAAUGUGUGAUAUGCGCUGCUUUAUUUCAAUGUUUAUUUUUGCUGUAUCGAACAUCAACAACGGUAUCCAUGCAGUUAGGCGACUAUUUUAAAUACGGCGAUUUUUUUUAUAUAAAUAAUGUGUGUGAUUUUGUGGCAAGAUUGUGUGAAGCUAUGUGUGAAAAUGCCCCUUUAUUUGCAAUAAAAGUGAUAAAAUAUAAACCAA